UCCAAAAAAUGUAUUCUGGUCUGCC
rnacentral:piRNA from 1 species